rnacentral:misc_RNA from 1 species
UUUUUCCCUCGUUCGAAUCCGCAGAUUUUCAACGAUCGGAACGCGAUGCUUUCGACGCUUCGCGAUCUCCUUACCGAUCGUCCGGAUCUGACGCUCAAGAAUCGUUACCUGGAGUACAAGACCUUCAGACACUUGCGAUUGAUCCAGGUGACGGGAAGUCCCCCGAUCGACGACGGUUCGACUCUCGAAGACCAGACGGAGAGGGAUCGUUACAUGAAAUUUUUGUCUCGUUACAAAAAGGAGUCCGAAAAGCUGCG